GAGUUUGAUCCUGGCUCAGGACGAACGCUGGCGGCGUGCUUAACACAUGCAAGUCGAACGGUGACAUCAGAGCUUGCUCUGGUUGAUCAGUGGCGAACGGGUGAGUAACACGUGAGUAACCUGCCCUUGACUCUGGGAUAACUCCGGGAAACCGGGGCUAAUACCGGAUACGAGACGCGAUCGCAUGGUCGGCGUCUGGAAAGUUUUUCGGUCAAGGAUGGACUCGCGGCCUAUCAGCUUGUUGGUGAGGUAAUGGCUCACCAAGGCGUCGACGGGUAGCCGGCCUGAGAGGGCGACCGGCCACACUGGGACUGAGACACGGCCCAGACUCCUACGGGAGGCAGCAGUGGGGAAUAUUGCACAAUGGGCGAAAGCCUGAUGCAGCGACGCCGCGUGAGGGAUGAAGGCCUUCGGGUUGUAAACCUCUUUCAGUAGGGAAAAAGCGGUUGGGUUCUCCUAGUCGUGACGGUACCUGCAGAAGAAGCGCCGGCUAACUACGUGCCAGCAGCCGCGGUA
rnacentral:rRNA from 1 species